AACAUCUCAUAUCUCUAAAUUCCUCCUAUCCUAUAAAUAAAAGUCAACCCAAAAUCAUAUACUCCCAAUUCCCCAUUAUCUAAGUACUGCAAAGGAAAAUCCAAAAUUAUUUUAAAGUAAAAUUCAAAACCUGUACCUUGUGCAUCAUGGCUUAGCAAGUCUAUCCUAAACCUAGUCACCCCCGAAAUCUUUACGAGCUGAUAAAAAUUUGUAUCAGAACCCACUACCGCAUGUUUCAUAAUGCCUAGAAAAAUUUUAUCAGAGGCUACAUACCUACCGCGUAAGACUAUAGCUGGUUUUCCAAAAAAUUCACAUUAGUGAAACAAGAACAAAUCUUUGAUAAGUAAUAAAGGAAAAGCUCUAUUACUCUAGCUAGUAUAACAUUACACUCCCAAAAGUAGGCUUAGAAACUGCCAACUUUCAAAUAACGUUAUAGUAUAAAUACAAAACAUACUAAAUCCUAUAAUAUCCUGCUAACAAAUAUUGGAAAUCCUCUACCAACCAUUUUAAUCCUAAAAUCUGCUAAGAUUAGUAUUUAUUACCUCUAAAAUAUUUUUUAAAUUCUCCUCAUUUAUAAAUAAAACUUCUUUAUUGUAAGGAACUCGGCAAAUACAAGCUCCGACUGUUUAACAAAAACAUUGCCUCUCGACUCAACAAUGAGAGGUUCAUCCUGCCCAAUGACAACAUAGUUCAAUGGCCGCGGUACCCUGACCGUGCAAAGGUAGCAUAAUCACUUGCCCCUUAAUUAGGGGCUGGCAUGAAAGGACACACGAAAGCUUCCCUGUCUCACAAUAACAAAUAAAAAUUAAUCUUCAAGUGAAAAAGCUUGAAUGAAACUGCAGGACAAGAAGACCCCGUUGAGCUUUAUUCUCUAUAGACUAAAUCAAAUAUUAAAUAUAUCAUAAACCUAAAAAGAAUUUAGUUGGGGUGACUAAGGAACACCAAAAACUUCCUUUUAUUAGUUAGGAUCAUUCUCCCUACAAAUUGACCCAUUACACAUGAUCAAAAAAAUAAGCUACCACAGGGAUAACAGGCUAAUCUUUCUCAAGAGCCCAAAUUGUCAGAAAGGAUUGGCACCUCGAUGUUGGCUUAGGGGCCCCUAAUGGUGCAGAAGCCAUAAAUGGUAGGUUUGUUCAACCUUUAAAACCCUACAUGAGCUGAGUUCAGACCGGCGUAAGCCAGGUUAGUUUCUAUCCUCAUUCUUAACCCCUACAUAAUAGUACGAAAGGACCUUACUGUAGUAAAAUCUUUAAAAACCAUGAAAACAACUAAUCAAGUUUUAAAUUAAACCUAAAAGACAAAAUUCAA
rnacentral:rRNA from 1 species